UCUCCCUGCAUGUUACACUGUGAGGCGGGGGAUUGGCUGGACUUCGGCAAGCCUGGUUGAUCCCGCCUCCCACCUCCGACGAUUCCGAUUGGAGCGGCACACCACCCCUACUCCAAUCGCCAAGCCGCCUGCAGGACCGCCUUCGUGCCUUCCCCCUCAAAUAGGCUGGUCUGCUGCUGAUUCAGGGCAGCUACCUUUUGCCAUGUGGUUUGCCCUGACGCUGGUCCUAACCUUGAACUCUGUGUGUGCAUGUAUCCUCAGUGGAAACAGCUUCUGUGUUUGUGAGACCUGGGUAUUACUGAGAGUUGGUAACUCACCUGGGAUAGUCUACAGACUUGGGCUAGGGGAAGCUCGUUCACUGAUUACCCACACCUGGUAGUUAAAUAUUUGUUUAGUGACACUAGGUUUAGGGGUGCUGCGCUCCCUGUGUUUUUCCACUUCUGAGCAACGGCUAGAGAGGUUUUUGUUUAUCUUUUUUCAAGUAGUUUAGUAAUCCCCCACGUAGGAGGGAUCUCUUUUUGUUAUAUUUGGUUCUUUGUUUUACGCAGCACCCACUUGCCCAUUUUCUGUUUGACUAAUUUGUGUGCAUCCGACUGCUUAAUAAAUAAUCUUUCCACCCAUA